AUGUAGCUUAACUAAAGCAUCUCGCUUACACCGAGAAUAUAUCUGUGAAACUCUGAUCGUUUUGAG
rnacentral:tRNA from 1 species